GACGAACGCUGGCGGCGCGCCUAAUACAUGCAAGUAGAACGCUGAAGGAGGAGCUUGCUUCUCUGGAUGAGUUGCGAACGGGUGAGUAACGCGUAGGUAACCUGCCUGGUAGCGGGGGAUAACUAUUGGAAACGAUAGCUAAUACCGCAUAAUAGCAGUUGUUGCAUGACAACUGUUUGAAAGGUGCAAUUGCACCACUACCAGAUGGACCUGCGUUGUAUUAGCUAGUUGGUGGGGUAACGGCUCACCAAGGCGACGAUACAUAGCCGACCUGAGAGGGUGAUCGGCCACACUGGGACUGAGACACGGCCCAGACUCCUACGGGAGGCAGCAGUAGGGAAUCUUCGGCAAUGGACGGAAGUCUGACCGAGCAACGCCGCGUGAGUGAAGAAGGUUUUCGGAUCGUAAAGCUCUGUUGUAAGAGAAGAACGAGUGUGAGAGUGGAAAGUUCACACUGUGACGGUAUCUUACCAGAAAGGGACGGCUAACUACGUG
rnacentral:rRNA from 1 species